AAAAGACAUUCAUAAAGGGAGCGACCUUAAUCCAGGAACUUAGACCAUCCAGAUUUCCUUCUGAAGCAAUCCACAAAUUGCUGUUCAGCCCCUAAAGAAGAUGCGGCCACCUCUUCCCGACAGAGGGGAGCCCACAUUUGUAACCAUCACUGCAGCCCGAGGGGCUAGGACCUGUCUCCUAGGACCAGCUGAGGACAAGCACGGAAUGCCUCGCUGGCCGCACGGACUCAGCCACGCGGAGCUGGCGGUGGCCUCUGUCCCCAGGUCACCUGGCCCACCGCGGUCACAGCCCCCUGGGGCGCCAACCACAGGACGCCUCCCGGUGGCGCAAAGGGCCAGUGCCGCCUGGAUGUGAGCCCCACUCCUGCGCCGGAAGCAGACGCAGGGGUGCAGGCGAAGGCCACGUGGCUUGGGACUCGCUAUGACUUGCCCGAGGGCGCUCUGACCAAGCACCCCAAAGCUCCCAGCAGCCCUGCUCAAAGCCUGCACCAGGCCUCUCUGCGAAUGAGGAAACCGAGGCCGAGGGCACAGAGCGGUACUUAAAAUCAGGCGGAGAGAGCCAGAGUCCACCCCAGCCCAGAUCCACCUGCCGCCAGCCCUGUCUACCUUCCGCACCCCGCCCGCCGCUCAUCCAGAGGGGAGGGAGUCAGAACAGCCCCUCGGCGCAGGUGAGAUGGGGACUGACGCACCCCCCCCCCCCCCGCACCUCUCCCUCUGCUCAGAAUGCCCGGCCGUGCUCCACCAGGGAAGGUCUCCAGUCCUCCAAGGGCACCUCUGGGUUGAUCCCCAGUUCUGCUGUGAAGGCACCACCCCUCGUCCGGCCCAUGCCAAGCUCCCCGCAGCUGACGUCUCUCUUCUCCACCUGUGCCCAGGGGGUGGCAGUUCCCCAAGGUUGUGUCUUUCUUUGGGUUUUGACUUACCAGCGUUUAACUCUUGCUGCCCACCCUCAGGUCUCCGUAUGUCCAGGAGUGAGGUCUGACCUUAGGGGGUGUCCCUCCUGCAGGCCCCGCACUGGCUCCCUGUCCCCUGUGCCCUGUGAGCCCAAGAGGCCCUUCCCCUGCGCCAUAGGUGCUAGUUUCCACCCUCUGGGCCUCUGCUCAGCUAUCGCCUCUGCCUACAGUGCUCUCCCUUUCUUCCUUUCUACCCAGUGGUAUAUUAAGUUCUGUCUUUUGUCUCCUUUAAUCACCUGGGGACUCAGCGAGGGAAAGAUGCUAGUCAAUCUCAUCUUUAUGUCCCCACAGCACCUAACGCGGGACCUGACACGUAGAUAUUCAAUAAAUGUUCGUGAAACGAAUGACUUCUGCUCCGACGCGAGAAGCUCGCAGAUGUUAGUAGCGAGGAAAGGAGACCCUGAAGUUUGGCUCACUCUCCCCGCCUUGCUGCCAACAACCAAUAGUAGGAAGCCGGGAAUACUCAAGGCACAGGAGGAUCGAACAAAGCUCUCACCCGACGUCUUUCCUCCCCUGCCAGCUCUGAGUUAUAAUCAUAGGAAACGAUUCGAUGCUUUAAGAAAGUCCCCUGGGAGGGCGCGUUCCUAGAGUCCCGGGAUUGAGUCCCACAUCAGGCUCCCUGCAUGGAGCCUGCUUCUCCCUCUGCCUGUGUCUCUGCCUCUCUCUCUCUCUCUCUCUCUCUCUCUCUCUGUCAUGAAUAAAUAAAUAAAAUCUUUUUUUUAAAAAAAAAGA
rnacentral:lncRNA from 12 species